rnacentral:rRNA from 1 species
AUGGCAUCUUCGUCUUCCUCCGUUCCUGCUGCGUUGCUGGCCGCACCUGAAGACAUCACUCCUCUCGCACUCAUCUGGUGCCCUAGAUGCAACCUCGAUGUGAUCCAGUGGUUCAUCUUUGAGACCCCCAUGAAUCCCGGUCGUCAUUUCUACAAGUGCCAGUUCCGCGAUAUCGAGCGUUGCAACUUUUGGAAAUGGGAGAACAAGUACAUCGACUACCUACGUGCUCGUUGGUCGCAUGUGUUUCUUCCUGCACCUCCUCCUGCCGUUCAAGCCCCCACCAUGAUCCUCCAUGAGAUUCAGUCGGACAUGAAGAUUGCACUUGCCGUCUCCCUUGGCAUUAAAUUUGAUGUCAUAACUUUUUGGCAAUAA